rnacentral:rRNA from 1 species
GGACACGUGUAAUCCUGUCUGAACAUGGGGGGACCACCCUCCAAGCCUAAGUACUCCUCAGCGACCGAUAGUGAACCAGUACCGUGAGGGAAAGGUGAAAAGCACCCCGACGAGGGGAGUGAAAUAGACCUGAAACCGGACACUUACAAACAGACGGAGCCCAAGAUUUGUUCUGGGUGACGUCGUACCUUUUGUAUUAUGGGCCAGCGACUUAAUUUAACGAGCAAGCUUAAGCCGAUAGGUGUAGGCGUAGCGAAAGCGAGUCUGAAUAGGGCGUCAAGUUCGUUGUAUUAGACCCGAAACCUAGUGAUCUAGCCAUGAGCAGGUUGAAGGUGAGGUAACACUCACUGGAGGACCGAACCGGUGUCUGUUGAAAAAGACUCGGAUGACUUGUGGUUAGGGGUGAAAGGCCAAUCAAACUGGGAAAUAGCUGGUUCUCUGCGAAAGAUAUUUAGGUAUCGCCUCAGACGAAUACCUCAGGGGGUAGAGCACUGGAUGGGCUAGGGGGACUUACCGUCUUACCA